rnacentral:rRNA from 1 species
GUGAACGCUUGCGGUAGGCCUAACACAUGCCAGUCGAACGGCAGCACAGUAAGAGCUUGCUCUUACGGGUGGCGAGUGGCGGACGGGUGAGGAAUACAUCGGAAUCUACUUUUUCGUGGGGGAUAACGGAGGGAAACUUACGCUAAUACCGCAUACGACCUACGGGUGAAAGCAGGGGAUCUUCGGACCUUGCGCGAUUGAAUGAGCCGAUGUCGGAUUAGCUAGUUGGCGGGGUAAAGGCCCACCAAGGCGACGAUCCGUAGCUGGUCUGAGAGGAUGAUCAGCCACACUGGAACUGAGACACGGUCCAGACUCCUACGGGAGGCAGCAGUGGGGAAUAUUGGACAAUGGGCGCAAGCCUGAUCCAGCCAUACCGCGUGGGUGAAGAAGGCCUUCGGGUUGUAAAGCCCUUUUGUUGGGAAAGAAAAGCAGCAGGUUAAUACCCCGCUGUUCUGACGGUACCCAAAGAAUAAGCACCGGCUAACUUCGUG